rnacentral:rRNA from 1 species
CCUACGGGAGGCAGCAGUAGGGAAUAUUGGGCAAUGGAGGCAACUCUGACCCAGCCAUGCCGCGUGCAGGAAGACGGUCCUCUGGAUUGUAAACUGCUUUUGAAUGGGAAGAAUGUGCUCCUUGCGAGGGGUAAUGACGGUACCAUUAGAAUAAGCCACGGCUAACUACGUGCCAGCAGCCGCGGUAAUACGUAGGUGGCGAGCGUUAUCCGGAUUUAUUGGGUUUAAAGGGUGCGUAGGCGGCUUAAUAAGUCGGUGGUUAAAAGUAGCAGCUUAACUGUUUUACAUGCCAUCGAUACUGUUGAGCUUGAGAUAUUUGGAGGCAGCUAGAAUUUCCGGUGUAGCGGUGAAAUGCAUAGAUACCGGAAGGAAUACCAAUUGCGAAGGCAGGUUGCUACGAAUAAACUGACGCUGAUGCACGAAAGCGUGGGGAUCAAACAGGAUUAGAUACCCUGGUAGUCCACGCCGUAACGACUAGAUUACUAGUUGUUGGGUUUAAGGUACCGUCAGUGACCGAACGGGAAACCGGAACGUAAGUAAAUACCACCGUCGGGGUAGGUACGGCCGGCCGAACCGGUAGGAAACGUACGAAAGGAAAGUUAGUACGGCGUGAGACGUGCCGAACGGACGACCGACGAGGGGAGGUAGGG